rnacentral:rRNA from 1 species
UACGAAGGGGGCUAGCGUUGCUCGGAAUCACUGGGCGUAAAGGGUGCGUAGGCGGGUCUUUUAAGUCAGGGGUGAAAUCCUGGAGCUCAACUCCAGAACUGCCUUUGAUACUGGAAAUCUUGAGUAUGGGAGAGGUGAGUGGAACUGCGAGUGUAGAGGUGAAAUUCGUAGAUAUUCGCAAGAACACCAGUGGCGAAGGCGGCUCACUGGCCCAUAACUGACGCUGAGGCACGAAAGCGUGGGGAGCAAACAGG